AGGGUUGGAACAUUCCCCGCUCCAGAGGCAUGGGGGAAUAUUACAAAUGUUGUUCACCUACCCUGGGAUACAAAAUAUAUACUAUUUACUCUGGUUAUCAAACCGUGUAAUGGGUUGGGAUCAAUAAGCAUUUACUGGCCCUAUGUUCAUACAUAAUGUAAUGAAUACAAAGAUGAUUUAU